rnacentral:lncRNA from 1 species
ACUGAAUAUUGGCAAACAUGUAUAUAUCCAUUUUCACUUACUUUGUUGUUUCUGAAAGUGAAAGGGACAAAGGAUAGCGCAGAGAGCAGAGAACAAAUGGAGUAUGUUGAAAUUUUUGGUCGAAUUUACAGUCCAUUAGCUUUCAUAAAUAUAUCACAACUAGCAUGCCUACAUCCUCACAACAUUGAUGAAGAUAUGCUUGAUAACUACUCCCUCCG